rnacentral:rRNA from 1 species
GAGUUUGUAUCAUGGCUCAGGAUGAACGCUAGCUACAGGCUUAACACAUGCAAGUCGAGGGGCAGCAUGGUCUUAGCUUGCUAAGGCCGAUGGCGACCGGCGCACGGGUGAGUAACACGUAUCCAACCUGCCGUCUACUCUUGGACAGCCUUUCUGAAAAGGAAGAUUAAUACAAGUAUGGCAUCAUGAGUCCGCAUGUUCACAUGAUUAAAGGUAUUCCGGUAGACGAUGGGGA